rnacentral:rRNA from 1 species
AUGUGGGCCACAGUGAAAAGCGGCAUCCGGCGUGGUGGUCACUGUUCGCCAGGUUCCGGCACACCCCCCGUCGUCGGUGCGCUCGACCACGCAAGAGGGCUUCAACCCUGUGCACCACGCGGGAGCAGCAUCCACGCUCGGACCCGUCCUCGCCGGGCUCCCGUUCGUGGCGCGCAACGACGUAGCGGCCAGCCACAGCGGACGCCCUCGUCUCUCCCAGGAGUGCCACAACGUCGCCGACGCGGCAGGGCACGACCUGGACGCUCGGGUUCGGGCUAUCCCCGCUCCUCGACGGCUCCACCUCCGCCACCACGGGAGGGCGACUCGACCUGGGUGAUGAAGGUGGCGAGGGCCACGACGAGGAGGACGUCAAUGCCGUGGGCCUCGCGGGAGCAAGAUCCACGCUCGGCCUUGUCCCCGUCGAGUUCCCGUCGUCCGUGGCACAGGAUCUACUCGCGGCCAACCAUAACGGACACUGCUGUCUGCCUGUCUCUCCACGGAGUGCCACACCGUUGCCGACGCGGUGGGGCACGACUGCACGGCCGGGCGCUCGGGCUCCGCCCCUUCCUCGGCACACCCGCCCGCUUCCUCGUGGGCUCCAUCUCAGGCGCGACUGGUCUCCGAGGCAGAGUCGUGGUCGGCGCGCUCGACAUGGGAGAUGGAGACGGCGAGGGCGAGGAGGACGUCAUGGAGGAGCUCAGGCUUCAGGAUGCUCAUCGACAUAUACAGGCCGUUCUCCACUUGAUUUAUGUCAGGAGUCGAAUCAAAACUGUGGUUCACUGUUCACAUUGGGUCUUCUAUCUGCUGGUAAAAGAACUCAGAGCAUGCUCGACGCGAUCGGACACAUCGAUCCGACGGCGCCGGUGUACCAUUGGAAAAUCAAUAGGUGUAAUGCUGUAUUGCGGGAAGUCGUGGGAGAAAAUCUUUACAAGGAAGUGA